GAGAGUAUAGCUCAGUGGUAGAGUGCAUGCUUAGCAUACACAAAGUCCUGGGUUCAAACCCCAGUACCUCCA
rnacentral:tRNA from 1 species